GAUUAACGCUGGCGGCGUGCCUAACACAUGCAAGUCGAACGAGGUAGCAAUACCUAGUGGCAGACGGGUGAGUAACGCGUGGUCAACCUACCGUUGAGUGGGGGAUAACUAGCCGAAAGGUUAGCUAAUACCGCAUACGUCUCCGAGGGGCAUCCCUUGGCGAUAAAAGGAGCAAUCCGCUCGAUGACGGGACCGCGUCCCAUUAGCUAGAUGGUGGGGUAACGGCCUACCAUGGCACCGAUGGGUAGCUGGUUUGAGAGAGCGACCAGCCACACUGGGACUGAGAAACGGCCCAGACUCCUACGGGAGGCAGCAGUGAGGAAUUUUCCGCAAUGGGCGCAAGCCUGACGGAGCGACGCCGCGUGUGGGAAGAAGGCCUUCGGUCGUAACC
rnacentral:rRNA from 1 species